GCAGUUUUCCCUCCCGCAACAUUUUAACAUUUUGUGAAGCCACCGUGACAGAAGAAAGACAUCAAAUGACACUGUAGUCCUGGGGACCUGAUCUUUCUUCUGUCCUGUUCUUUCAAGACACAAGUGCACAUAGGAAAGUUACACACAGGAAGAAAAGGAAGAAUGAGGGAAGGACUGAGGGGAAGAUAUCAUACUUCAAAAGUGAAGGAUGAAAGAACCACAGAGGUGUGUGGGGGUAUAUAAAGAGAGAAAGUCUCACUCAAGUCUUUUAUCUCCUUGCCUCCAACGAUCUCUCCCAUAGGACAUGAGAAGAGGGGAAUACCACAGCUUACAUUCCUCUUCCAGGGCUGUCCACCUUACAUGCCACAGCAGAAAUUUGAACCAACCAUGAUGCAUCAACGUUCUCAUUUCCAAACUUUAAGUAUGCAUGCCCAUGCACUGUACUAAUGUGGCUACACACAAUGGCUCAUGUAGAGCCGACUCCUGUCUCUUGGCUGAGUAGCAAAUACCAUGCGACCCUCUAUAGCCCGGUCUCACAACAAUCUGCAAAUCUUGAAAGAGGUCUUGAAAAUCAUUUAAUGAUUGAAGACUGCUCUGGAGCAUUCACUGGGCCUCCAGGCAAACUCAUUCUUUUCACGGCACAACUUCACCCAAGAGCCAGUAUUUCUUUGCAACAAGAUUUGCUAUUUGCCCAUUAUUGUGCCCCAAAACAAUUUGGGGCUUUCAGUCUACUUGCCAGUUUCAUGAGAGGGUUUUUUUCCCCCACUCUCUGCACAGUAUAUAACAAUCAAACAUAUGAGUGGGGAGGUGACAGAGUUAACAGAUUCCAAGCCAGAGAUAUUCAUGGCACCAGGGAUUUGUGUAAAGUUUCAUACUGGAACCCUUUUCUAAAUUCUUUUGGUCAUGAAAUGACAGAGGGGAGAAAAAACAUUGCAACUGUUUAGUCUGCAGGGGAGGUGGCUCUGGCCCAGCACUCCGAACAUACUGUCGCUCAGCAAACAUUUGAGAAAGGAAUUUAACAGACAUCUCUCUGUGCUCUUGCCACCCCUUAGUGUCCCACUGACAGUGCUGAACUACCUGACUGCUCAAUAGACACGAGUUCUAUCAUUAGCGCUCUUUGCUAACGAUGCAACUUGGGAUACUGUGAGGGACUAGGGUUGCCAGUUUUGGU